rnacentral:rRNA from 1 species
UGGGGAAUUUUGGACAAUGGGCGAAAGCCUGAUCCAGCAAUGCCGCGUGUGUGAAGAAGGCCUUCGGGUUGUAAAGCACUUUUGUCCGGAAAGAAAUCCUUGGCUCUAAUACAGUCGGGGGAUGACGGUACCGGAAGAAUAAGCACCGGCUAACUACGUGCCAGCAGCCGCGGUAAUACGUAGGGUGCAAGCGUUAAUCGGAAUUACUGGGCGUAAAGCGUGCGCAGGCGGUUUGCUAAGACCGAUGUGAAAUCCCCGGGCUCAACCUGGGAACUGCAUUGGUGACUGGCAGGCUAGAGUAUGGCAGAGGGGGGUAGAAUUCCACGUGUAGCAGUGAAAUGCGUAGAGAUGUGGAGGAAUACCGAUGGCGAAGGCAGCCCCCUGGCCAAGUACUGACGCUCAUGCACGAAAAGCGUGGGGGAGCAAACAGGAUUAGAUACCCUGGUAGUCCACGCCCUAAAACGAUGUCAACUAGUUGUUGGGGGAUUCAUUUCCUUAGUAACGUAGCUAACGCGUGAAGUUGACCGCCU